GCCACUGCAUUCCAGCCUGGGCAACAGACUGAGACCCUGCCUCAAAAGAAAAAAAGAAAAAAAAAAAAGGAGAGCGCGUACUGUUGCGGAAGGGGCACUGCUCGAGAAACAGAGACGAAGGGAUGAUUUUCAAGUAAUCAAGACACCGAGAAAGACAAGAUUGGGGAUGGAAGAGCAGUAAGAAUUAAUGGAGACGUCCAAGAAUUGUAGUUCGGGCGCGGUGGCUCAUGCCUGUAAUCCCAGCACUUUGGGAGGCUGAGACAGAGUAUCGAGCUGUCGCCCAGGCUGGAGUGCAAUGGCAUGAUCUUGGCUCACUGCAACCUCUGCCUCCCGCGUUCUAAGUGAUUCUCCUUCCUCAGCCUCCCGAAUAGCUGGGAUUAUAGGCACGCACCAUCAUGCAUGGCUAAUUUUGUAUUUUUAGUAGAGAUGGGGUUUCCCCAUGUUGGCCAGGCUGGUCUCGAACUCCUGAUCUCAGGUUAUCCACCCGCCUCAGCCUCUCCAAGUGCUGGGAUUACAAGUGUGAGCCACCGCACCCCGCCCUAAUCUCAGCCUUUUUAUAUCUUCUUGGUAGGCCCACUUUUUGGCAUCCCCUAACAAGAAGUCCUCAGAGAUUUUUACUACUCAACAUGUGUGCGUCCCACUCAGAUGUAUUGUGUUCUUUCUGUUCACCCUCUACUUCCCAUUCCAUUUCUUCCUCUGACUUAGGGUUAGAAUGGCCCAAUGAUCCUACAACUUUUUGAUGCUAUUUCAUUUGAUUCCUCUACUGUCUAAAUCACAAGUUGGCUAACUUUACUUACUGUAAGGGAUCAGAUAGCAAAUAGUUUAGGCCUUGUGGGCCAUUCAAUCUGUCAUAACUACCCACUCUGACCAUAUGUAGUGCAAAAGCAGCCCUUGACAAUAUAUAAAUGAAUG
rnacentral:lncRNA from 1 species